CCAUGGGCUCGCGCCCAUGGCUACAUCAUGCCGCCGCUCCGCGGCU
rfam:Rhodopirellula maiorica SM1 cSM10692, whole genome shotgun sequence.